AGCAGCCGCGGUAAUUCCAGCUCCAAUAGCGUAUAUUAAAGUUGUUGCAGUUAAAAAGCUCGUAGUUGAAUUUCGAGAUCAAAUUGUUGGUCGUGCCUUGGUACGCACUGGCAUUAUUGGUUUCUCCCUUCUGACGAACCAUGAUGUCAUUAAUUUGGUGUCUUGGGGAAUCAGGACUGUUACUUUGAAAAAUUAGAGUGUUUAAAGCAGGCUCACGCUUGAAUACAUUAGCAUGGAAUAAUGAAAUAGGACGUUUGAUUCUAUUUUGUUGGUUUCUAGGAUCGACGUAAUGAUUAAUAGGGAUAGUUGGGGGCAUUAGUAUUCAAUUGUCAGAGGUGAAAUUCUUGGAUUUAUUGAAGACUAACUACUGCGAAAGCAUUUGCCAAGGAUGUUUCAUUAAUCAAGAACGAAAGUUAGGGGAUCGAAGACGAUCAGAUACCGUCGUAGUCUUAAACCAUAAACUAUGCCGACUAGGGAUCGGAUGAUGUUUAAUUUUUAAUGACUUCAUUCGGUCCG
rnacentral:misc_RNA from 1 species